rnacentral:lncRNA from 1 species
CCUCCUGUGACUGCUGAGGCACCUAUUAUAGCUGAGGACAGACUCCCAGUUUGUGCAGACAGCUGAGGCUUGACACCGUGCAUCGGAGAACUAAUUUUCCCCCAGUAACCCAGGCCUGUGACUGGCUUGGAUCACAGCCCUAGCCUGUCCUCUAUUGGAACAUGUUUAAUUACGACUUGCUUUUCCUGCACAAGAGGAUGGAUGAACAAGGAGGAGGACGCAGCGCUGCUGCUCCUAAGCAGCUGGCGAGGGGUGGUUUUUCACACAGCACUGCUGUGAUGUGACUGUCCGGUGUCAGCCCUAUGCCUGCCUGGGAGUUCCUUUUCAGCUUAUGACAGCACCUGAUGGGGCUGAAGCCACUGCAGUCUUCAGUAGCUUUGAACUGAGUGUUUGGGGUCAGGAUGGGAGGAAAGAGCCCCAAAGGGCACCAAGAAGAAUCUACCAGUGCCU